rnacentral:lncRNA from 1 species
UUUCGUAUUACCACGAUCGGCCACCUGGGUAGUGCACUGCUGCUAUGGUUUGUUUGUCAUCCUUUUAUUGCAAAUAACUGAGAUGUGGAUGAAAGUUCGUUCAUAAUACCAUUCCUCUUCUUUUUCUUUUUGGAAUAUUAUAUAUUCAGAUAAUGUAUAAAUAUUUCUUAAGAGGUAAUACCAAUUAAAUAAUGUGAAAAUACAUCAGAUGUGGUUUAUGUGUACUGACUGAUAUGUUGGCUCGUUUUCAGUAUUUUAUAAAUGAGAAUUAUUGUGCUUGACGAACUUAAGCAUUUAAAAACCGAAAAAAAAAUAUAUACUAAACGUUUUCUAAUACGCCGGCAAACCCAGCAGUUAGUUUGGUGGUCACGGAAACAUUUUAAUUUUUAUUGGGCGGGUUAUCUUUCAUUAUUUAUUUAUUUAUUUAUUGGUGUAAUUAACACUUAUAUAUUUUGAAACUGAUCUUGUUCGUUUUUGUGUUAUUCUACAUUAAGAUGAGAGGGUGUGAUUAUAGGGGAAUUUGGCAUCGAUUUUGACAAGUCAAGCGAGCUCUUCGUGAAGUAAAAAUAAUGGAAAUUAUCCAAUUAGUAUUUUUUAUGACGUCAAAUAUAAGACUAAUUAACAACACAGAAGAGAAUAUUCUUAAUUCAACCAAAAAUAUCUCCUAUGACAAACAAGUUGGCUGCGGCACGGCGUCAAGAAUUCAAAAAGAAAUGCCUGUCUAGUACAGACAGACAACGCCUGUAAUAGUGAUACAUCAAAUACAAAGAUCGCUUCCUUUAUGCUAUUUAACUAUUUCUAUUAGUGUAUUAAAAAUAUUAGUUUUCAUUUAUUCAGUAAAACAAAUAAUUUAAAACACGCAACGCUUUUACUUUAUCUAGAAGCUUAUAGUUUUACAAACGUAUUCAUUUUUAUGCAGAGUGAAAGAAAAGAAGGGACUUCGAACUCCAAACCAUUGUCGGUUUCUUGCGAUAUACAUACAGAUAGGACUUUGAAUGAAUUAUUCCUUACUGUAGUGUUGCGUGAUUUUCUAAAAUAAACAUUUUAAUUUAAAAGGGAAAAAAAACUUUUCCUACGAUACGACAGUAGCAAAACUACUUAAUUUUCUGACGUCAGGAUAAUUCAGAUAGAUUUUGUUUGUUUAUAGCCGGACAUAACAAUAAUAGACAGAGGGAAGAAAUUUUAAAUGACAUUUUUGUGGAGAUCCGGCCUGGGUAAUUACCAUAAACUGAAGUACUUGUUUCCUGGUAGAAAGUAAAAUAUCAUUUGGUAUAAUAACAAUGAAUGCACUUACUUACACCUAGUGGAUUUAGAUUAAAAACCAUCUAUUGCUCUCUGUUAACUGUAGAUUGUUCUAAAUAGAAGUAAACUGCCUUCCUUUUAUCUUAUUUGGUGGCCAGUUUUUUUGUUUGCUUUUAUAUUGUCCACAUCUAGAAAAUAGAUAGACAUGUACCUAACGGACACAGUCCAUUGUUGUCAGGCGUAGCUAUUAGAAUUAUCUCCCUUUUCUCAUGUUUCAGGCUAUCAAACUCAGCCAAGCUACCCGGGGUCGUGUCAUCCAGAUACCAGAUAUGGAAGAGUGAGCAGAAUGAUCAUGCAACAUCAUCUACAGCCAAUGCAAAAGAGAGCUGACCAAAAAGAUCACUCUGCUGGACAAAUUGUAGAAGCUAUCAUGUUGUCAGCAGCCAUGAGUGUGUUUAAUUUACAGUUGUUUCCUCGAAAAUUGAUCUCAUGGGCAUUAUUAUAUUAUUAUUGCAUAACAGGCAAACGUUUGUAUAUGUAGUGUCCUAGACACAAAAUCGAAGGUUGAUUCUUUGGAAACAUGUAUAAAAGUAAUUUUCAAGGAAAUAGAAAGACUUGCUCACUCCCUUCUCCUUGGUUAUAACUAUAGAAACUGUAGAUUUUUGCGAAUUUUCUGACAUUUAUUUGAUAUAACAAACAAUCUCUAAAUUACCACCUAUCUGAUAGCCUAAACCCAUGGAUGAGCUUUAUAGGAUAAACUUCAGAGCUAAUACACCAAUGAAAGUACGUGUGUGUGUGUGUAACAGUGACGUCACAGCUGAAUAAUUAUAACCAUUUAAGGAAAACAAAAACUAUUACAUUCACUUUCAUAUGUCUACUAUGAAGUGUCAACAGUUUUGAUUACACUUCCACUAUCUGAUCACAAACACAGUUUCGUGUGGAAACUUCCAAGACACAAGCAUUCUCUCUCUCUCUCUCUCUCUCUCUCUCUCUCUCUCUCUCUCUCUCUCUCUCUCUCUCUCUCACACACACACACACACACACACACACACACACACAUAUUUGUGAACAGAUACGACUCUUAAGUCAAAACAUGCACAAGGCCAGAAAUUUGGCAGAAGUUAGUAAAUUAGAUCAACCCCUGUACUUGACUAGUACUUUAUCAACCUCAGAGGUGUGAAAGGUAAUUUUGAAAGGUGACUUUGGAAAAACUCAAAAUAUAAAAGCCAAAACAAAUAUCACAAGGUACCUUUUCCAUCUGAUCUCCAGGUCCCACAUAUACAAGCUCCAUUCUUUUUUUAUUUUUUUUAUUUUUUUGCUGAUGCUGUAAUUAAUGUAAGACCGAGGAUGGUGGACACAAAAGGGAUGACAUGACAGUAGAGAGUUAUGUAUGGAGCUCAAAGGAGCAUGGCCACUGUAGUAGUGGUUGUAAAACCGAAGAGCUGACCUAGCUUAUCUGUGGGCCAAAAGGUGAAAUAUGUUGGUGAGUGACUUCAUGUCAACCAGAUAAAUAGCCUUUCUUUGGAUGCAAUCUUAUAUGGCAGCCAUAGCACUGUCCAAAAUGUGGGAGCAUUAUUACAUUAAGGUCUCACCAGAGAAUUAAUUAUAAAAAGUUCCUCUGAAGAAGUAGGCCAGUGGCUAUGCUGAAGAUAUGUGUUGUUCAGUGAUAGUUGUGCUUGGUAUUUGUAAUGUCCUUAGAUUAAUUAGUUGCGUGUUGGUCAAGUUUAGAAGGCUGGUAUAUAUUUUCAUAAAGUGUGUAUUGAGUGUUCCUUUGUGCUGUUGAAAGAGGCAAGAUUAAAACAAAGAUUCUACUGGAGGAAGUUUUGAAGGUCUAAGAUCAUGGAGGGAGUGCAGGUUUUGCAUGAAAUAUCUUAAGUUACAUGUGGAUGAUGCUUGGGAGCAGAAUGGUAAAGGGGAAUGAAAGUUGGUAUCAUACAUUUAAGAGUGAGCCAGUAAUACCAAGUAGAUAUUUGAUGUAUAGGAAGACGAGUGGAAAGGCUACAAAAGCAAACACUGUUGCACAACAGAGUUGAUAGGCUGUGGGUCAGCACAGGAGACCAAUAGACAAAAGAUGGAUGGAGCCCAUAGACUACCACUUUCACAUGGUCAAAUAUUUUAUUAGUUUUGAUGCAUUUUUUGUUUUGCUUCUUUCUUUUCUCCAAGACAUAUUUGUCAAUACCUUUAAAGGUGGCAUGAGCCAAACUAACUUCAUGCAGUAGAGAUCUAGAUAGUAGCAUUAAAAAUGUUAGAGACAGAAAACAAUACUGUAACUAGCAACAUCUAAGAAAGCAGAAUCUAAAGUAAAAAAUGUAAAAUUCUAAAAUGCAUCUCAAAUUUAUUAAUUUACUUCAUUUUAAUUUAAAAGUAAUUUGCUUCACAAUAAAUGUAAC